ensembl:lncRNA
CAGUUCCUGGUGCAGACAGAUUGGCUGAUGUUGAUUGUUGACAGCUUCUCCAGCUUGCUAAUUACAACUGUAAAAUAUUCAGGUGAAUGACAGUAACUUGAAAUGUUAAUUCUGCUUUUUUUUUUUUUAAUUUUUUUUUAUUAUUUUGCAGCUGCAACUGUUAGUUGGCUAUUGCUGUAAUUGAUGGACACUGGCAGUUGCUCAGACAGAUGGAAAUUAAUACUCGUGUUACUGUUAGAACUCGCUUUCACAGUCACGUUUUUAUUAGCCUCCCACACUGAAUUAAUGUGUGCACGAUGGUGCGUGUAGAAUCACAGAGUCAUUAAGGUUGGAAAAGACCACUAAGAUCAUCAAGUCCAGACAUCAAGAAGGAGCAGCACAGAUCCUACCUGCAGACCAGCCAAGUGCUUGCUUUGUAUUGGUGGGCCAUGGUAGAAAGAAGUGAGGCUGUAUCAAAUGCGAGGCAUCAACCUGCUCUUCAGGUAAGAAGGCUUGCUCACUGUAAGACUCUGAAAACUGUCAUCUGGAUGGGAGUUUGCAGCUGCAGAUCCUGCCAGGGCUUAGAAGAGAGAAAUGCUUGCAUUCAAGUGGAAUGGAACCAUCCAUCCAGUAGAGAGCUGAUGCCUUAUUUGCUAGCAUAAUAAAUGCAAGAACAGGCCUUGCACUUUUCUUCAACUGGGAAAAAGGUUGGAUGUUCUUUAGAAUUCCCACAAUAAUGUGAGAGUCUUUUAAAACAUACGUCAGAGUUGAUGGAAACUUGUAGCUUAACUUCACCAGAAAUGCAGCUAUUAUCUUACCUGUUGAGUUUUAGUCACAUGAGUUGAAAGCUACUACUAUGACGGUUGAAAGGAAAAUGCCGAGGCGGUGUAAGUGAUUAAUAAUGUGAAUCAUAGAACCAUAGAACUAUUUGAGUUGGAGGGGACUUUUAAACGUCAUCUAGUCCAACUCCCCUGCAAUGAACAUGGACAUUUAGAUCAGAGUGCUGAGAGCCUGGUCCAGCCCAACCUCAAAUCUGAAGGUAGCAUUGAAGUGAGGUUUUCGUAAAUCGUGGCAAUAUAGGUACCAGAAACUAUUUGAGACAUGACUUGUUUGACUUGAAAGCAGGCUUUCUCUUUGAGACUGUGGGACAAGGAAGCUGGAUCAGGAAAAAUACUGGUUUGCCUCAAUAAGAAUUUGCUUCAGCUUCCCAGGGUUUGGUUGCUGAGGAAGUGACCACACAGGACUUUGCAUCUUGGAAAGAGCUAAAGCAAGUUAGUGUACGCAAAGAGCUCCUCUGAGGCAGAGCUGCUAACAGUGUUGGCUAAACAAGUCAAAGUGUUCAAUACUUUCUGAGUAGCAAAGUCAGUUCUUGAAUUCUGCUUUGUUUUAAGUUUCCAGAACAUUGUACUUCAAGUUGAUGAGGAAAGCCCUUAUUUCCUUCGUGUUCAGAGAUUGUGACCAAGUAGAAAUCUCUUCUCAGGAGGUGUUUGUGAGCCGUGUGUAGAGGUAGGCUGACAAAAUGGAUAGCAGCUCAGCCUUAAGUGUGAAUGCAUCUUCUGGCUGUUUUGUUGCUUCUGUGGAGGAAGGCCAUGCACACAAGGUCCUCUCUCCCAUUCUGUCCUACACCUAAGCCUCUUGCUAACAACUCACCAGGUGUGACUGAGUGGCGGUUCUGACCUCAGAGCUGCAGUGUCAGCAGUUGCUAAGGAUCUCUCCACUAGCCUGCUCAGCAAAGCUUUGCUGUCAAUAUAGUUUUGCUCUUGCAUGCAGUGCAGGAGAUGUUCAUGUGCUAAAGGUAGGAUUGUGUUGCCCACUGCUAUGCCAAUUACUGGAUAUUAAUGGCAGGAUAGCAUGCAUAUGCCUAAACUGGGAAGCAGAAGGUUAAUAGACGAACAGCACCAGAAGAUCCCAUUUAUCAGUUUCUAUUUAUCUCUCCUUGGGAGGUGGCAGGUUUACAGUAAAUACCUUCUGUCCUCCUAAUUUCCUAAUGAUGGGGAUAAUGAUGGAGAAUGGUGAAGUCAUUAACUGGGACAGCCUCUGUGCAUCACUCUGUCAACCACAUCUCUCCAAGACCUGCAAUGAAAAGUGAUGGGCCCCAGCUGUUCACCAGAUUCUCCUCCCCUCCCCCUCUCCCCAUUCCCAACCCCAGUUGCAGGCGUAGCAGUUGGAAAAGGAAAAAAAUAAUAAAAAAAAAAAACACAAACCAAAAGACAAAGGGAUGGUUCCUCUCUUCUGCACUGGAAUGAUCCUGCUAUAGAGCUCAGUGCAGUGCUGUCCUUGGACAGAGUGGUGUUAUUUCAGUAGGGACCACAGCACUGCAGAACAGUGGUUUUAUUAAAAAGAGCAGAAUGCAAAAGCAGGUUGCACUGUUUGGAGUGAGACACUGGAUUUCCAUUGUGCUGCCUUCUGCUGAAGGACCUGUUAAAUAUCUGUAAAAAUUCUUAGCACUUUUCUGUGUGAGAAGCAUUUUGCCGGAAUACUGAUGUGUUGCAGUGGCUACAAAAAUGGAUGGGCAAACAGCUCUUAAAGUUAUAGGUAUAUUGGGAAUAGAACUAAAGAGAGAAUAUAGUACCCAGACUUUCUAGAUCACAAGAGUGCAAUAGGAAGUGGUGAAGUUACCAUCCCUGGAGGUGUUAAAGAAACGCAGAGAUGUGGCACUGCAGGACAUGGUCAGUGGGCAUGAUGUUGGAUGUGUUGGGGUUGGACUUGGUGAUCUUAGAGGUCUUUUCCAACCUUUAUGAUUCUAUAUGGCUACAGUCACUUGUUGUGGCCUUGAGUGUCCUAUGACAGAACUCUGCAAGUACUUAACUGCUGUUUCCUCUGCAGAGGCUGAGGAUCCAACCUUCUGCCUUGAAAUCUUUUUUAAAGAGAGGCCUGUCUGCAGUGAGGUUUUCCUAUUGCAUCUGCCAUUUGUCAGGCUCAUAAAAGAACUCUUGAGCUGUGGGAGCUUUGUAUUAGAAGGGUUCAUUAACUUUCAAAUGUUUCAAUUGAGAAAUUUCAGAGCUCUCAGCAAUCGACCAAGGUGGCUGGCUCAGCCAAGAGUGUCCCUUGACAGUCAGGUACAGAUGUGAUUGCUAGUCAGAGAGCUGUAAGAAACAUAAUAGUGUCCCAGAAAGUGUCAUACUUGAGCUGGAGAGGCUUAAACCAAAUAGCCCAGAGAGGCCGUAAAUAAUUUUUGUUAUUCUUUAAGGGACAGGAAGACAGAGGAGCCCUUAGCCGGUAGUAUGCCAGGAAUUCAGUCUAUGAGGUUGUAGUGCAGUUGGGUCCCAUUCUGGUGUGACUUAUCAUGUUCAUAAGCUGCCCUAGAAAACAUGACAGGGGAAAUGAAAACAUGGUUGUAGUGAGAGAAGGGACUCCACUGGCUAAUCCUAAGCAGAUGACAAACUGUUCCUAAGUGCCUGGUGCCAGCAAAGGUUGAGAUGGUACAGACAGGCUUUUUGUCUGAGUUAGGUCUCUGUUCCAGUGGUAUCUGAGCAGAGGUAUAGACUGAAAAUGAAGGGCAGUGAAACAGUUCUUUUGUCUGGGAGAUGUGAUGUUAUCCAGUUAAUGCAUUAGAAAAUGUCUGAGUAAACUUCACCUAAAUAUUUUUUUCUGUUUUAUCUUCACGUGCUAGAUGCUACUCUAGGUAAUUUUCAUACAAAUGAGAUGAAGCUUCGGAUUUCAGUCCUGCCGUGUUACCUUGGUUCCCAUAAGAUCUCCUGAAGCCCUUAGCUGAAAAUGCAGUUGUUAAUGCCUUAGCUUCAUGUGGUCUGACUGUUCAGUGUCCAGCAAUGUAAGUGCAGCAGUCCUGGGCAAGGUUCAGCAGCAUCAGCUGUUUCUGUGGCCAGCCUCUCAGCUUUGACACCUCAAGCAUGACAUAAAUCAGGCUAAACAGAACAUGCAAUAUUAAACAUCUGUUGACUUCUAAAUAAGGAAAAUCAUAUUAGUCACUCUGUAAGCAAUCUGCAUGAUAAUUUCAGGAAAGCAUGAGGUGACUGCUCUCUCAGAGGAAGAAAUAGCUGAUAGAUCUUUUCUAUAUAUGUGAACUAGCUGUAAGAAAGACUGAAGAUCUGACCAGAAGUCUUCCUUCUGUGAGGUGCCUUUGUUGGAGAAAAAAAAAGACGAGUCAAAUUGUCUGCCACUGUGGAAAUUCAUUUCAGAUGUGUACAGGGCAGUAUCUACAGCACCAAGUCUUGGACAGAAUGGAAUCUGUUGCAGAUAUUGCUUGUCAACUGAAAGGAAUCUCACUGGAGCAUUGUAAUCUCUCCAAAAUAAUUUUUUCAAUUAUGUUUAACAUACAGGAGUAGAUGACUUAAAAAACCAUCCUAGCUGACAGCCCAAAGGCAACCAAAUGUUACAGUCAAGUCCAUUUUAAAGGUGCAGAGUGUCCAUAUUAACCCUUCAUCUAUAGAUGGUUGAAAGAAAACAAAAUACACAAAUCGUGCACCUUUUAGAGAUCUCAGCACUUAAACCUGGAGAUGUGGCUGCAGUGUAGAAACGAAGAAACAUGCAGUGUCAAGAUGAGGAAAAUAAAGGUUUGGACCAAGUUUAUGUAGAGACACAAUCAUUCAAAUGUGUGUCCAAGUUCAGUUCUAACAGCAUUUUUACCUUCCAGAACAACACUGAUGCUUUAGCAGCAGCCUCUUGACAAUCCACUUCUGUCAACUGAAGAACAGCGUUUGGAGUAGGAUGACUACAGAUGCUUUACCUCAGUGAGAGUCAAGAACUCAAAUUAUUCUCAUCAGUGGGAGCCUAUUUGAGGGUAAGUCAUCAGACAAACUGGAAAGGAACACCAACAGUUGUCACUUGCCCUUAGCAUCAGCAGUGCUAAAGCUUUUCGAGUGCAUUCCUCACAGCCAGGCCAGUUUUAAACCUUCAGUUCCUAUUUGCAGAAUUCGACUGUAUGACUGAAACAUCUCCUGGGCUGCUUUUCUAAACAGCACAUCGGAAUAAAAGGUUUCUUUUUUAACUGAAGCUCUGGAAGAAUUUCUGUUCUCAGAGGCCUGUAGAAAAAGUCAGUUCAAAAAUAGAAAAAUAAAUGCAGAGAGACUGCGCAGAAAAGAAGACCUGAAAGAUGGAUGUUUUGUUGUGUUCAUUGUUGCUGAAGUAGGAAAAAAUGUGCAAAAAAAUAAAAAUAUAAACAUAAAAAAUGGCCACUUAUGACUGGUUUACACUUGAAAUAUUUAAGAAGUAAGAAAAGCGUGUUCUCCAGCUCCUGAAACGUCUAUUGUGCCCAAGUAACUAUGCUAACUAUCUGUUGGUGUAAGUGGAUGCCACCUCAUGGAUUUCAGUGGCAUAUCAUCUCUUCAAACAAGCAGAGAGAGUGGAAGACAUUUGACACAAACAGAAGGAUCGUACUUGCUUAUGUAUACCUCUGUGUGCCAUUGACAUGGAAGGCUUUG